rnacentral:rRNA from 1 species
AACGAACGCUGGCGGCAGGCUUAACACAUGCAAGUCGAGCGCCCCGCAAGGGGAGCGGCAGACGGGUGAGUAACGCGUGGGAAUCUACCCAUCUCUACGGAGUAACGCAUGGAAACGUGUGCUAAUACCGUAUACGUCCUUCGGGAGAAAGAUUUAUCGGAGAUGGAUGAGCCCGCGUUGGAUUAGCUAGUUGGUGGGGUAAAGGCCUACCAAGGCGACGAUCCAUAGCUGGUCUGAGAGGAUGAUCAGCCACACUGGGACUGAGACACGGCCCAGACUCCUACGGGAGGAAGCAGUGGGGAAUAUUGGACAAUGGGCGCAAGCCUGAUCCAGCCAUGCCGCGUGAGUGAUGAAGGCCCUAGGGUUGUAAAGCUCUUUCACCGGUGAAGAUAAUGACGGUAACCGGAGAAGAAGCCCCAGCUAACUUCGUGCCAGCCGCCGCAGUAAGAC